AUUGAACGCUGGCGGCAUGCUUUACACAUGCAAGUCGAACGGUAACAGGCCGCAAGGUGCUGACGAGUGGCGAACGGGUGAGUAAUGCAUCGGAACGUGCCCAGUCGUGGGGGAUAACGCAGCGAAAGCUGCGCUAAUACCGCAUACGAUCUAUGGAUGAAAGCGGGGGACCGUAAGGCCUCGCGCGAUUGGAGCGGCCGAUGUCAGAUUAGGUAGUUGGUGGGGUAAAGGCUCACCAAGCCAACGAUCUGUAGCUGGUCUGAGAGGACGACCAGCCACACUGGGACUGAGACACGGCCCAGACUCCUACGGGAGGCAGCAGUGGGGAAUUUUGGACAAUGGGCGCAAGCCUGAUCCAGCAAUGCCGCGUGCAGGAAGAAGGCCUUCGGGUUGUAAACUGCUUUUGUACGGAACGAAACGGUCUUGGUUAAUACCUGGGGCUAAUGACGGUACCGUAAGAAUAAGCACCGGCUAACUACGUGCCAGCAGCCGCAGUAA
rnacentral:rRNA from 1 species